UUCUAAUAGUCAUCUCUCUUUACUCCCUUAUUUAAUAAAGCAAAAGAAGCCAGUCUCAGUAAAGAAUUAUGGGACAUCUAUGUGAAAAUGUCUGCUGCAUAUGAAAUCCCAAGAGAAAAUAUACAAGAUAUCCUCAAAAACGACACCUGCCCUCAAUGAACCUAUGGAUUUGGUUUCAAGAUUGAUACAACUUGCUACAUAUCUGUCCAUGGCAUCUAAAUCACAAAUAUGAAGGUGGACCCAUCUUUCUUUCCCAAUUGUGCAUUCACCUCUCUCGUGUAGUUCAGAUUCUUUACACUGUUCUUUCCUCAAGUUUCUUCCCUUGCCCUGUUGAGUAGAAUUUUCUUGCUUUGUGAAUGAGUGAAUAAAUUUCAUCUUCUGGCAUAAACUUUUAAAAACUUUAUUGUGUUAUUUAAAUCCUCAGUAUGGGACUCUUUUUUGUAUGAAUGUGUUCAUAGA